GUUAGAACCCAUUCCAGGGUGCCCUGCCCUUCACAAAGAAAAGAGAACUCUCCCCGGGGCUCCCGCCGGCUUCUCCGGGAACAGUUGCAUUACUGCACUGUUCGCACUGCCAGCAGCCUGU